GACAAGGUAGCAGAGUGGUUAAAGCAAUGAACUGCUAAUCCAUUGUGCUCUGCACACGUGGGUUCAAAUCCCAUCCUUGUUG